rnacentral:lncRNA from 1 species
ACUGCUCUGUCCCCAGGUGCCCUGUGGGCUACACGGGGCUGUCGUGCCAGCGCUGUGCCCCCCGUUUUGAGCGGGUGACGAGGGGACCCUACCUGGGGAUCUGCUCUGGCUGUGGCUGCCACGGCCACUCCAGCACCUGUGACCCCGUUUUUGGGCACUGCUUGAACUGCCAGCACAACACGGAGGGUCCCCAGUGUGAGAAGUGCAAGCCUGGCUUCUUCGGCGAUGCCACCAAGGGCACAGCCACCGCUUGCCACCCUUGUCCCUGUCCCUACACAGAACCAUCUCGCAGGUUCUCGGAGUCCUGCUUUUUGGACACAGAUGGCCAGGCCACCUGUGAUGCCUGCGCCCCUGGAUACGCUGGUCGCCGUUGUGAGAGGUGCGCCCCAGGCUACGAGGGAGACCCCAUCCAGCCGGGUGGCAAGUGCACCCCGAUUGGUGAGUGGAGGGUGCUGGUUGGGGGGUCCCUGCACCCUUGGGUGCCCCCCACCCUCAUUCUUGCUGCCUGCAGGCCAGGAGCUCAUCAAGUGUGAUGCCCGCGGGGGCCAGGACGAGGCGGGUGGCACUUGUCGCUGCAAGGUGAGGGCAGGGGGCUGGGGGACAGUGGGGCAACAUUGGUGGGGACAAUGGGGGGGCUGGAU